rnacentral:lncRNA from 1 species
UUAGAUUUCAAGGUAUCUUAGUGUUUUUAGUUGUUUGGUGAUGUUUAGCAUGAAAAACAAGCAAGAAAUUUCAUGCCCUUCACCCACACUCCUUGGCUGAAAUUUUCAAGAGAGAAAUUGGAUAAUGGACUUUGAUGAAUUUCAUGCUAUUUAGGUGUUUUUAGUUGUUUUAUGAUGUAAGGUGUAAAAAUCAAGCAUGAAAAUUACAUGUUUUACACUAAACCUUCAAUGGCCGAAUUUUACAAGGAAGAUAUUGAUGAUGGAUU